GGAGGGUGCAAGCGUUAUCCGGAUUMACUGGGUUUAAAGGGUGCGUAGGAGGGCAGGUAAGUCAGUGGUGAAAUCUCCAAGCUUAACUUGGAAACUGCCGUUGAUACUAUCUGUCUUGAAUACCGUGGAGGUGAGCGGAAUAUGUCAUGUAGCGGUGAAAUGCUUAGAUAUGACAUAGAACACCAAUUGCGAAGGCAGCUCGCUACACGAAUAUUGACUCUGAGGCACGAAAGCGUGGGGAUCAAACAGGAUUAGAUACCCUGGUAGUCCACGCCCUAAACGAUGGAUACUCGACAUACGCGAUACACAGUGUGUGUCUGARSGRAAGCAUUAAGUAUCCCACCUGGGAAGUACGACC
rnacentral:rRNA from 1 species